UUAUUUUUCUUUACUACUAUGUUUAGUUAGUUUGCAAUUUAUACAUUCAAUAAUGCCGUUUUUAUUGUUUGUGAUUUUUGAUGUUGUGUAUUCGGCAUAGGAUUCGAAUGCAAGAUGAAUUGGAAGAACGAAAGAGAAAAUGGUUUACGUGACGUUUCCUGGCGUUUCGAAGCUUGAGCGCAAUCUGACCUUUGUUUUCCACCGAAUGAAAAAGAUUUCACGACAAAUACGUCAGUUCAAAGAAUAAGUAAGAGAAAGUUGAACAAGUUCACAUGCUGAAAAUGAAAAUUUUUA